GACGUGCACCCGCAGCAGCGAGCGCAGCCAGUGCCGGGCCACAUCAGGUGCUCCCAAGGGCAUCCACGUGGCCAGAGGAGAGCGGCCGCCGCCGGGGAGGAGCGGCCGGCUCCUGGGCUCUCGGCCCCAGGACAUCUGUGGUCUCAGGAGGUGACACUCGCUCCAGCUUCAAAGGACAGCUCCCCAUGGCCCCCCAAUAAAAGCUACAUGGAGGUGACUCGAUCUCUCCCCAGCCUGGAAGGUUACUCGGAGAUGUCAGCUGCCUGCAACCUGGGAAAGGGCUCUCACCAGACACGGAGCCGGCCAGCCCUCCGUCUUGGACUUCCGGAGCCAGAUGAGAAACGUUGAACACAGGAAGAAAACAGCUGAGCUGGGAUCUGAACCGCCAAGCUCAGGUAAGUGUAGGUCCAGAAUCAGGUCUCCCAAACUCUCUCAAGACCCUAUCUCCCUCCAAAUACAGUCAUGUUCUGGGGUACUGGGGGGUGAGGAUUUCCACAUGGGAAUUUGGGGGGACGCAAUUCAGCCCACAUCACAGAUGUUACAUUUUUGUGAUUACCAGAGCAACAUAGGCCCCCCCAUAGAAAAACUGGAAACUUCAGAAAUGAAGGCACUAAGGUUAGAAUCUCUGCAGAAAUUGCAUUAAUUGUUUUGUCACAGGGUCUGCAAAGGUUAGCCAUGAGAGUUCAGAUUUAGAAGGAAAUUUUUAAAA